AUAUAUUUUAUAACGAAAGUGGGGUUCGAUAUGAGUGCAAUUUUUGAGAAUGGUCUUGUCCUGGAUGGCACUUUCAUUGUACAAAAUUGCAAGAGCAUUUGGGUUUUUUGCUUGCCUUGUUGCUCAAAAAGAAAACCAGAGCAACGUAGGCCAAUGAAAACCUGGACAACAUUAUGGUAUUCUUUGCAGCGUGCCUCUAACCAAAACCUUGGAGUGCUACAAAUCUCAUUGAGCACAAUUCCAGGAGGUUAAAUAUCGGUCAUGCCAGAGCAAAAGAAUGAUUGGGUGUCCAUAUAACUUUUCAUAGUUACAUUUGGCCAAUAAUCAUUUGGACAGAUAACUCCAACGUAGCAGAAUUCUGUGCCUAUUCUCCCAAAUAAGUAUCCGCUCCGAACAUACUCCAACGUUCGUCGUAGCCAUGAGGAUUAUAUGCCAACCACAUUAGGUUUUAGUCCUGCCUCGCUGUUUCAUAUAACUUUACCUGGACACAAUUAUUGUAUUAAAUUUGGCGCAUGCCUCUAACCAAGAUCUUGGAGUGCCACAAAACCCAUUGUGCACAAUUCCAAGAGGUUAAUUUCGGUCAUGCCAGAGCAAAAGAAUGAUUGGGUGUCCAUAUAACUUUUCAUAGUUACAUUUGGCCAAUAAUCAUUUGG
rnacentral:sRNA from 1 species